rnacentral:rRNA from 1 species
AUUGAACGCUGGCGGCAGGCCUAACACAUGCAAGUCGAGCGAGCGGCGGACGGGUGAGUAAUGUCUGGGAAACUGCCUGAUGGCGGGGGAUAACUACUGGAAACGGUAGCUAAUACCGCAUACCAUCAGAUGUGCCCAGAUGGGAUUAGCUGGUAGGUGGGGUAACGGCUAACCUAGGCGACGAUCCCUAGCUGGUCUGCGAGGAUGACAAGCCACACGGGAACUGAGAACCGGUCCAUACUCCUACGGGAGGCAGCAGUGGGGGAUAUUGCACAAUGGGCGCAAGCCUGAUGCAGCCAUGCCGCGUGUGGGAAGAAGGCCUUCGGGUUGUAAAGCACGUUCAGCGGGGAGGCGUUACCCGCAGAAGAAGCACCGGCUAACUCCGUGCCAGCGGCCGCGGUAAUAC